AUGAUCUGGGUUCUUCUCCUUCUCAUCCUCCUCAGUCAGGGCCCAGGAACCUGGGCCCAGAAUGUCCUGACUCAGCCUCUCUCAGUGUCUGGGACUCAGGGACAGAGAGUCACCAUCUCCUGCAUAGGAACCAGUGAUGACAUUGGGGGAUAUAAUGAGGUCUCCUGGUACCAGCAGCAUGAGAACAAGGUCCCAAAAAUGCUGAUUUAUAAUGUCAAUAAGCGGCCAUCAGGGAUACCUGAUCGCUUCUCUGGCUCCAAGUCUGGCAACACAGCAACCCUGACCAUCUCUGGGCUCAAGCCUGAGGACGAGGCUGAUUACUACUGUUGCUCAGGCAGGCGUGGUGGCACACGCACGGUGGUUCACGCUCAUAGGGAAGUAUUGCAAUAUGUGGCCAUCGGGGAAAGUGAAGACCGGAAUUCUGAGAAGAUCGGGAGUCUGGCCCAGUCAGCCCUGACUCAGCCUCCAGCAAUGUCUGGAACGCCAGGACAGAUGAUCACCAUCUCCUGUACCGGGACCAGCAGUGACUUUGGGGGAUAUGGCUAUGUCUCCUGGUACCAGUAG